CCUACGGGUGGCAGCAGUGAGGAAUAUUGGUCAAUGGACGAGAGUCUGAACCAGCCAAGUAGCGUGAAGGAUGACUGCCCUAUGGGUUGUAAACUUCUUUUAUCUGGGAAUAAAACGUUCCACGUGUGGGAUUUUGUAUGUACCAUAUGAAUAAGGAUCGGCUAACUCCGUGCCAGCAGCCGCGGUAAUACGGAGGAUCCGAGCGUUAUCCGGAUUUAUUGGGUUUAAAGGGAGCGUAGGUGGAUUGUUAAGUCAGUUGUGAAAGUUUGCGGCUCAACCGUAAAAUUGCAGUUGAAACUGGCAGUCUUGAGUACAGUAGAGGUAGGCGGAAUUCGUGGUGUAGCGGUGAAAUGCUUAGAUAUCACGAAGAACUCCGAGUGCGAAGGCAGUUCACUGGACUGCAACUGACACUGAGGCUCGAAAGUGUGGGUAUCAAACAGGAUUAGAUACCCCAGUAGUC
rnacentral:rRNA from 1 species